CUACGGGAGGCACCAGUGGGGAAUAUUGCACAAUGGAGGAAACUCUGAUGCAGCAACGCCGCGUGGAGGAUGACACUUUUCGGAGCGUAAACUCCUUUUAUAUAGGAAGAAGAUGACGGUACUAUAUGAAUAAGCGCCGGCUAACUCCGUGCCAGCAGCCGCGGUAAUACGGAGGGCGCAAGCGUUACUCGGAAUCACUGGGCGUAAAGAGCGUGUAGGCGGAUUAAAAAGUCAGAAGUGAAAUCCUAUAGCUUAACUAUAGAACUGCUUCUGAAACUCUUAAUCUAGAAUGUGGGAGAGGUAGAUGGAAUUUCUGGUGUAGGGGUAAAAUCCGUAGAGAUCAGAAGGAAUACCGAUUGCGAAGGCGAUCUACUAGAACAUUAUUGACGCUGAGACGCGAAAGCGUGGGGAGCAAACAGGAUUAGAUACCCUCGUAGUC
rnacentral:rRNA from 1 species